rnacentral:rRNA from 1 species
GGAGUCUAGCAUGUGCGCGAGUCAUUGGGAUUCUGUGCUAAACCUAAAGGCGAAAUGAAAGUGAAGGCGCGCCUCGCGCGCGCCUAGGGAGGAUGGGCGAGUCAGAAACUCGCCCCGCACUCCCGGGGCGUCUCGUUCUCAUUGCGAGAAGAGGCGCACCCAGAGCGUACACGCUGGGACCCGAAAGAUGGUGAACUAUGCCUGGUCAGGACGAAGUCAGGGGAAACCCUGAUGGAGGUCCGUAGCGAUUCUGACGUGCAAAUCGAUCGUCGGAACUGGGUAUAGGGGCGAAAGACUAAUCGAACCAUCUAGUAGCUGGUUCCCUCCGAAGUUUCCCUCAGGAUAGCUGGCGCUCGCAACUUGCGAGUCUCAUCCGGUAAAGCGAAUGAUUAGAGGCAUUGGGGUCGAAACGGCCUCAACCUAUUCUCAAACUUUAAAUGGGUGAGAUCUCCGGCUUGCUUAAACACAAGUUGAAGCCGCGAGAUCGGAUCAGAGUGCCAAGUGGGCCAUUUUUGGUAAGCAGAACUGGCGCUGUGGGAUGAACCAAACGUGGAGUUAAAGCGCCUAAAUCGACGCUUAUGGGAUACCAUGAAAGGCGUUGGUAACUUAAGACAGCAGGACGGUGGCCAUGGAAGUC